CAGCACCUCAAGUGGUCAGGAUGAUUAUUGGGCCUAAAGCAUCCGUAGCCGGCGCUGUAAGUUUUCGGUUAAAUCUGUACGCUCAACGUACAGGCUGCCGGGAAUACUGCAGCGCUAGGGAGUGGGAGAGGUAGACGGUACUCGGUAGGAAGGGGUAAAAUCCUUUGAUCUAUUGAUGACCACCCGUGGCGAAGGCGGUCUACCAGAACACGUCCGACGGUGAGGGAUGAAAGCUGGGGGAGCAAACCGGAUUAGAGACCCGAGUAGUCC
rnacentral:rRNA from 1 species